ACCUAUGUAUUUCUUGGACACUCGCCAAUUUUUCCCACGCUCGAAUUUAAAACGCCCCACUCCGACGAUGCGCUAACUGAUUUAAGCGACCGACAGUCAGCCUCAUUCAGUGGAUGCAUAGCCUCCACCGGUGGCGCGUAGGGCCGUAUUACGGAAGAUUUUAAUUCGAUUUUUUUCUUAUAUUUAACCAUAGGUAUUUGUGCUUUUAUUUCAAUUUUAUUUUUAUUGA